UACGUAGGGAGCAAGCGUUGUCCGGAAUCAUUGGGCGUAAAGAGCUCGUAGGCGGCUUGUUGCGUCGACUGUGAAAACCUGCGGCUCAACCGUGUGGGUCUGCAGUCGAUACUGGCAGGCUUGAAUUCGGGAGAGGGAUGCGGAAUUCCAGGUGUAGCGGUGAAAUGCGUGAGAUAUCUGGAGGAACACCGGUGGCGAAGGCGGCAUCCUGGACCGAGAUUGACGCUGAGGCGCGAAAGCCAGGGGAGCAAACGGG
rnacentral:rRNA from 1 species